UAUAUAGAUAAAUAUACAAUAUAUAUAUAUAUAUAUCCAAUAUAAAAAUGUAUGAACUAAUAUAAUAAAAUUCAAAAGAAGGAAGAGGACACACACAAAUUUCAAUCUCACUGAUUCUUUCUCUUUUGGUCUUUUUUUUUGAAGGAUGUUUUUGUUAUACUCCCCCUGCGCUAGUAUCUUUUCUAAAUUGUUCAACACACCAU
rnacentral:ribozyme from 1 species